rnacentral:rRNA from 1 species
GAGUUUGAUCAUGGCUCAGGAUGAACGCUGGCGGCGUGCUUAACACAUGCAAGUCGAACGAACCUUCGGGUUAGUGGCGGACGGGUGAGUAACGCGUGGGAAUCUGCCCUCAGGAGGGGGAUAACGGUUGGAAACGACCGCUAAUACCCCAUAUGCCGAGAGGUGAAAUGAAUUUCGCCUGAGGAUGAGCCCGCGUCUGAUUAGCUUGUUGGUGGGGUAAUGGCUCACCAAGGCAUCGAUCAGUAGCUGGUCUGAGAGGAUGAUCAGCCACACUGGGACUGAGACACGGCCCAGACUCCUACGGGAGGCAGCAGUGGGGAAUUUUCCGCAAUGGGCGAAAGCCUGACGGAGCAACGCCGCGUGAGGGACGAAGGCCUCUGGGCUGUAAACCUCUUUUCUCAAGGAAGAAGAUAUGACGGUACUUGAGGAAUAAGCCACGGCUAAUUCCGUGCCAGCAGCCGCGGUAAUACGGGAGUGGCAAGCGUUAUCCGGAAUUAUUGGGCGUAAAGCGUCCGCAGGCGGCUUUUCAAGUCUGCUGUUAAAACGUGGAGCUUAACUCCAUCAUGGCAGUGGAAACUGAUUGGCUUGAGUAUGGUAGGGGCAGAGGGAAUUCCCGGUGUAGCGGUGAAAUGCGUAGAUAUCGGGAAGAACACCAGUGGCGAAGGCGCUCUGCUGGGCCAUUACUGACGCUCAUGGACGAAAGCCAGGGGAGCGAAAGGGAUUAGAUACCCCUGUAGUCCUGGCCGUAAACGAUGAACACUAGGUGUCGGGGGAAUCGACCCCUUCGGUGUCGUAGCUAACGCGUUAAGUGUUCCGCCUGGGGAGUACGCACGCAAGUGUGAAACUCAAAGGAAUUGACGGGGGCCCGCACAAGCGGUGGAGUAUGUGGUUUAAUUCGAUGCAACGCGAAGAACCUUACCAGGGCUUGACAUCCUGCGAACCUUUAAGAAAUUAGAGGGUGCCUUCGGGAACGCAGUGACAGGUGGUGCAUGGCUGUCGUCAGCUCGUGUCGUGAGAUGUUGGGUUAAGUCCCGCAACGAGCGCAACCCACGUUUUUAGUUGCCAGCAUUUAGUUGGGCACUCUAGAAAGACCGCCGGUGAUAAACCGGAGGAAGGUGUGGAUGACGUCAAGUCAUCAUGCCCCUUACGUCCUGGGCUACACACGUACUACAAUGCUACGGACAAAGGGCAGCAAACUCGCGAGAGCUAGCAAAUCCCAUAAACCGUGGCUCAGUUCAGAUCGUAGGCUGCAACUCGCCUACGUGAAGUAGGAAUCGCUAGUAAUCGCAGGUCAGCAUACUGCGGUGAAUACGUUCCCGGGCCUUGUACACACCGCCCGUCACACCAUGGAAGUUGGCCACGCCCGAAGUCGUUACUUUAACCCUUGUGGAGAAGGACGCCGAAGGUGGGGCUGAUGACUGGGGUGAAGUCGUAACAAGGUAACC